rnacentral:lncRNA from 1 species
AGUCAGUAAAGUUCCGAAAGUAAUUCUCAGCGGACACACGUCUCCCUCCAUGUGCAGAACAUGUGCAGGGGUGGGUUUUCUCCUCCCUGAUUUUGAUUGACAGCUGGCAGGGUAGUCUGAUUGGCAACUGAGAAGUGAGUCUGAUUGGCAACUGAGUAAAGAACGAAGGUGAUUGGUGGAUCGCUGCACAGCACAUGCAGAGUCACAUGGAGUGUAUCUCAGUCGGUUACCCUUGAAAUUAAAUGAGUUCAUUCACCUCCAAUAUCGCAGGCUCUGCGAUGUGACUAUCGCACACACGUACAUCGCGAUGACGAUAGUCAAACGAUAUAUCGUUCAGGCCUAGUGUG